AUCCUGGCUUAGGACGAACGCUGGCGGCACGCUUAACACAUGCAAGUCGAACGGAGUUAUCGAGAGCUUGCUUUGAUAACUAGUGGCGGACGGGUGAGUAGCACGUGAGCAAUCUGCCCUUAAGAGGGGGAUAGCAGUUGGAAACGACUGAUAAUACCGCAUAAGAUAGUAGUACCGCAUGGUACAGCUAUAAAAGAUUUAUCGCUUAAGGAUGAGCUCGCGUCUGAUUAGCUAGUUGGUGAGGUAACGGCUCACCAAGGCAACGAUCAGUAGCCGGACUGAGAGGUUGGACGGCCACAUUGGGACUGAGACACGGCCCAGACUCCUACGGGAGGCAGCAGUGGGGAAUAUUGCACAAUGGAGGAAACUCUGAUGCAGCGAUGCCGCGUGAGGGAAGAAGGUUUUAGGAUUGUAAACCUCUGUUGACAGGGACGAUAAUGACGGUACCUGUUGAGGAAGCUCCGGCUAACUACGUGCCAGCCGCCGC
rnacentral:rRNA from 1 species